GGGUCGGUGACGAGAGCUCAUAUUGUCUUGAAGACGAUGACCUAAAAACCAUGCUCAAUAGGAUUACGCUGGGGCCC